rnacentral:lncRNA from 1 species
AGAUGGCCGCCAUUUGAAGAUGGCCGACACCCAAGAUGGCUGACACCCAAGAUGGCUGACGUUUCAAGAUGGCCGACCAACAAGAUGGCCGCCCUGCUGCCCUCUGACUGCCUGAGCUCAGCGGUCCCCCAAGAUGGCCGCCACCAAGAUGGCCGCCACCAAGAUGGCCGCCUGGAGGCCCCAAGAUGGCCGCCUGUAGGCCGGGAAUGACAUCAGAGCUGUCACACUGAGCCUUGUGACGUCACACCAGCGGCCAUCUUGAACCCUGUGACGUCACACCGGCGGCCAUCUUGAAGGAAGUGAUGUCACACCGGCGGCCAUCUUGAACGAGGUGACGUCACAGCCGGCAGCCAUCUUGAUCCCCGUGAUGUCACAGGAAGUGGUGGCCAUCUUGAGUGACAUCAUAAGC